AACACAUGCAAGUCGAACGGUAGCACAGAGGAGCUUGCUCCUUGGGUGACGAGUGGCGGACGGGUGAGUAAUGUCUGGGAAACUGCCCGAUGGAGGGGGAUAACUACUGGAAACGGUAGCUAAUACCGCAUAACGUCGCAAGACCAAAGAGGGGGACCUUCGGGCCUCUUGCCAUCGGAUGUGCCCAGAUGGGAUUAGCUAGUAGGUGGGGUAACGGCUCACCUAGGCGACGAUCCCUAGCUGGUCUGAGAGGAUGACCAGCCACACUGGAACUGAGACACGGUCCAGACUCCUACGGGAGGCAGCAGUGGGGAAUAUUGCACAAUGGGCGCAAGCCUGAUGCAGCCAUGCCGCGUGUAUGAAGAAGGCCUUCGGGUUGUAAAG
rnacentral:rRNA from 1 species